UUCAAAAGUUUAUUCGUUAAAAGUUAUCGUAUUAUAAUACCAUGACCUUUAACCAUAGUGGUCAUUAUAAUAAACACUAGUAUUAAGCAGUAAAUUAGGCAUACAUAACAUUUUUUUUUACAAAAGAGACUUUUAGUGUAUAUAGUAAAAAUAGAAAAACACAAUUUCCGUUUAAUGAGUUUAAAAGACCAAUUUUAUACUAAAUUUAGCUUACUUGUUUUCAAGGUAAAUUGAUUUCCUAUUGUUUAUAUUAAAUUUAAAGUGUUAAAAAUAUUCAGUUUAUGCUAAGACAGUUUUUUGGGGGAUUUUAACAAUGCUUUUGAAUUAACGAAAAAAUGUAAAACUUAAAAUUAACUAUACUUGUUUGAUUUUAUGAUAAUCGUUGGUACAUUAUUUAAGUUAAAUUUUUAAAGAAUAGUUUACAUUUUAUUGUAUAUCUAUUAGGUACUCUUGUUCAAGUUACCUUAUACGUUAAGUGAUCUGAUUUUUUCAAACGAAUCUUAGCUUCAAACAUUUCAAAUACAGCCAUUAUCAUCAACAAUAUUUAUUUUAAUAGUGUUUACUCAUUGCUAAAUACUUAGUUAAUAAUAUAAUGGAAUUUUUACUACAUAAAUCGACAAACACAAUUACAUAAAAAACUUAGAUAUAUGUUGAUAUCACGAAAUUAUGCGUCACUGUAAUAGUUUGACUAGAAAUUCGACAGAACCAAAGGUGCACCAUUAACAAGAUUGGCAGGAAUUUUGUUUCUUCGGAAUGUUUUGAUUAUCACGAAAUAAAACUAAAAAGAAAAACAUUUAUUAACAUAAAAAGUACUAAGUAUUAAUGGGUAAGACUCAAAAUUCGAUUGAUAAAGAGUUUCAAAUAAAGCAUGUUUGCUGAUUCCUCUUUAGAUGUCAAAAUAACAUGAUUAUUUCUUAAAGUGGGACAUAAUACGUAUUGAAGUAUAGCGGUAGUCCUCCGAUGGCCGAUGCUCAAUGAAGACCGCCAUACGAAGGGGUAUUGCGGAAUCAAGAAAUAAUCGAAACCGGAUGUGUGUGGCCACUGGUUUUAUAACCUGUAGAAAAAAAAAUAGCACGUUUACUGGAUUAUUAUCAUGCACCACCCAGAAAUCACAGAAGAAGGUAUACUGAAAAGAAUACGAUGGGCUUCAGGAAAAAAAGGAAUAAAAUGUGUAGAAAAAAGAUCCGUUUACCCGUUGUAUUAUGUUCAUUUUAACAACGGUGACAAUAUUAACACGUGUUAACCGGUUGGAGAAUAGCAAUAAUAGCGUUAAUUAUCAUUUCAAAAAACCAAUAAAAUUCUCACACCACAAAUAUAAACGUAAUUUUAUAGAAUUUUAUGAGCAAUUAAAAAAGGUGUUUGAGGAAAAAUCAAGAAAUAAAUUUAGACCAAGUUGUUACUUGUCAGUGACGUAUUUAGGGUUCGCUCGGGUGAGUGACUACAUAAGAAAAAUUGUUUACUUCAUCUUCCAAACAAAUAAAUUUAUCUUCGCCAUUAUUAUUGCCAUAAGGGGUAGGACAUCCGACUCCAAUUAAAUUACGCCAGUGUCACUUGUAACGAACAUUAGAACUGCAACGGACUAAAAUAUUCGAUAAUUUCCCCAACAACAUUUAUUUGUUCAAAAAUUUAGCAAAUACAAUGAUUACAUUAUUGAAAUUAUAAAUCAGCUAAUAAAGUUUAGUAAUCGCUUCUGUAAGUGUAAGAAAACAUUAUUUUUUAUCGAAUAAAGGUAUUAAAAUUUAUAAUAAUUC